AUUGAACGCUGGCGGCAUGCCCUACACAUGCAAGUCGAACGGCAGCACGGGAGCAAUCCUGGUGGCGAGUGGCGAACGGGUGAGUAAUAUAUCGGAACGUGCCCAGUAAUGGGGGAUAGCCCGGCGAAAGCCGGAUUAAUACCGCAUACGACCUACGGGUGAAAGCAGGGGAUCGCAAGACCUUGCGUUAUUGGAGCGGCCGAUAUCAGAUUAGCUGGUUGGUGGGGUAAAGGCCUACCAAGGCGACGAUCUGUAGCUGGUCUGAGAGGACGACCAGCCACACUGGGACUGAGACACGGCCCAGACUCCUACGGGAGGCGGCAGUGGGGAAUUUUGGACAAUGGGCGCAAGCCUGAUCCAGCCAUGCCGCGUGCGGGAAGAAGGCCUUCGGGUUGUAAACCACUUUUGUCAGGGAAGAAACGGCUCUUGCUAAUAUCGAGGGCUAAUGACGGUACCUGAAGAAUAAGCACCGGCUAACUACGUGCCAGCCGCCGCCGUAA
rnacentral:rRNA from 1 species